AUGAAAUGACUCUCGGCAACGGAUAUCUCGGCUCUUGCAUCGAUGAAGAACGUAGCGAAAUGCGAUACUUGGUGUGAAUUGCAGAAUCCCGUGAACCAUCGAGUCUUUGAACGCAAGUUGCGCCUGAAGCCAUUAGGUUAAGGGCACGCCUGCCUGGGUGUCACAU
rnacentral:rRNA from 1 species